UAUAUGAAGACUCAAGUCGGCAGGGAGACAAGGAAAAAUAAUUCUUUUCAGAUCAUCUGAUCGACGCGCCACCAUACGGCAUAGGACGUGCAUGUCUUCAAGGGGUUUAUAGCAGAUCGUAGUCUUUACCUCUUAGUCUGUGCCUAUACUAGUUGCUUAUGCUUACAGUUACAGCUUAGUGAUUGAACUGAACAAAUAAAAACAUAAACUUGAAAUCUAAAACUGAAAGUCUUAAACUCUUUAGAGAGUAGAGACUAAUGAGAAAUGGCGUCAAAAAAGCGAACAGCUUCUACAAGUUUACAAAGUCAAAGUCAUGUGGGUGCUGUAGGUGGUGAUGAUCAAGUUGAUUGUGAAACUGUAAAUGUAGAGAAUAAUGAUUCGGGCAGCGAUGCGCAUGAUUCUGGCAGAUUUGUCAUUCUCAUUCAAUGUUAGACCAUUGAGCAUUGACCGCUUUCUCAUGAAAGCAAAUCUGAAAAAAAUACACUGUUUUGAUUGUCA